CGAAAUAUUUCAGUUAUUUCUCAUAAUAUUUAUUUUUUUUAGAUAUGUAUAAUUUUAUAAGUAUAUAAAAAUAUAUAGUAAUAUACGAAGUAGAAAAUAUUCUCCCACAAAUCAGAUUUCGCACCAACUUUAUAUAAGGCACAUUCAUUUUAGAAAUUUUAUAAUAUUAAAUAAAAUUAGAAUUAUAUUAAUUUUUAUUAAUUUUUUUAUUAAUUAUAGAUUGUAUUUAUUAGAUGAAAAUUUAAUUUCGUUAUAUUGACUAUUAAAAAUUAGGGUUGAUCAAUGCGAUAACUAUUUUAAAAAAAUUUGGUUCAUGUAUUAUAUUAUUAAAAAAUAGGGUUGAUCCAUGCGAUAAUUAUUUUAAAAAAGAUUUGGUUCAUAUCUUAUAUACUCAGUGUACAAUUUUUUUUACACCGUAUAUAUAUACAAAUCUAUUAAUUUCUGUAUAUGAAUUUUUUAUUUAAUUAUACUAUUAAAAAAUAGGAUUGGUCUAUGCGAUAAAAUUUUAUACUUGGUGUAGGCAAAAAAUUUAUUAAUUAUAGAUUGUAUUUAUUAGAUGAAAUUUUAAUUUUGUUAUAUUGACUAUUAAAAAAUAUGGUUGGUCCAUGCGAUAAUUAUUUUAAUAAAAGGUUUGGUUCAUGUCUUAUACUAUUAAAAGUAGGGUUGA
rnacentral:lncRNA from 1 species